UUUGUGUACCCAAAUGACGUUCAGGAUAGCUCCUAUGUAGGUACAGUAGAUCAUGUUUUAGAAGAAUGGUACCUGAUACUUUCUCUGACGUACUAAGUGAAUUAAUUGAUGAAGAGAAGGCAUCAGGAUGUUCUGUGAAUAUAAAUCAAGCCAGCCAAAGCAGAGUGAUACUCAAUGUCCUGCUGGGAAAUAGCAGGCACUGGAGGGCAUGUGCCUAGGGCGCCAGUAACUUGAGGGGUGGCCUGAGGCUUAUGAGGCAGUAAAUCCCGAUGGAGGUGGAAGUGAUAACAUCACGCCCGCCUGCACAGGGAUGCAGAACAAUAAUGAAAGAGGCCUGCAGCCUAGAGGGGAACUUGGAGAAACAGCUGAACUGAAAAUGUACAGAAAAAGAAGCCCCUGAAAAUUCUCAUAUUUGAAAUACAUUUCACAAUGAAAGGGUGCAUCAUAUUUCUUUGGAAGACUGGCUUUGAAAAAUGGCAGUAUACUAGGAACGGUAAUAUUGUUUAUGACAAGGC